GUCGGCGAGGGUGGGGGUGAUGAAGUGGACGUGGGCGUCGAUGGCGCCGGCGGUGAGGAUCCGGCCGUUGCCGGCGAUGAUCUCCGUCUCCGGGCCGAUGACCAGGGAGGGGCGGACGCCGUCCAUGGUGUCGGGGUUGCCGGCCUUGCCGAUGCCGCAGAUGCGCCCGUCGCGGAUGCCGACGUCCGCCUUGACGAUCCCCCAGUGGUCGAGGAUGACGGCGCCGGUGAUGACCGUGUCGGGGGCGCCCUCGGCGCGGGUGGUGCGGGCCUGUCCCAUGGACUCGCGGAU
rnacentral:sRNA from 1 species